AGAGGCCCCAAGGUGGUCAUGGUCACUAUGUCCAGCCUGGCGGGACGGCUGCAAGGACCCACUGGGUUUGUCCCCCAUUUAUUCAUUUCUCUGAUAAGCACUCGCUGCCCACCUUUCCUGUGCCCCGCUCCAGGCCAGGACCUGACGAUGCAGACAAUGGCUGGGUGAGGCUCUAGAAGGUUCCGGUUGCUCCCAAACCAGGAAGGGAAACGGAUGAGAAAAGAGACAACAAGCCCUGUGUCUCGGGUGCAUUCUGAAUCCUGACUCCUGCACACGCAGGCCAGGCCCAGGACCUCCCUGGAACCAAGGGGCCAUAGCGUCUGAAGAACAAGACAGUGCAAACGCCCUGAGCAUUCUCCUCUCAGCUACCCACAGAUCAGAUUUCCAGGAGACUCAGCCAUCUGGUGCACAGGCAUACACCCAGGAGUCAGCGAGGAGGGCUGCGCAGUGGCCAACGUGGCAGUCACCGAGCACUGCAGGCCAUGAUGGCCAUGAGUGGGUGUGGAUGAAGACACCACAGCCUCAGGAGGUGCUGGCAAACAGCUCAAGGACAAAAGGGAAACCAGACCUAGGACAAGCUAAACCUUCAGAAGCAGGACAGCGUCCUCGGUGACAUCCUGAACCACUGGAACAUGCCUCACCUGAAGCUGCCAUGACUACCGGUUGGUCUGUUGGAAAAGCCAAUAGAUUCACUUAGGUUGCAUUUCUGUUGUGUGCAACCAAACACAUCCUUUCAUGCUAUACCAUCUAUAGGGGGAUGCCUCUGGCUCCCACUUACCGCC